rnacentral:rRNA from 1 species
GACGAACGCUGGCGGCGUGCUUAACACAUGCAAGUCGAACGGAAAGGCCCUGCUUUUGUGGGGUGCUCGAGUGGCGAACGGGUGAGUAACACGUGAGUAACCUGCCCUUGACUUUGGGAUAACUUCAGGAAACUGGGGCUAAUACCGGAUAGGAGCUCCUGCUGCAUGGUGGGGGUUGGAAAGGUUCGGCGGUUGGGGAUGGACUCGCGGCUUAUCAGCUUGUUGGUGGGGUAGUGGCUUACCAAGGCUUUGACGGGUAGCCGGCCUGAGAGGGUGACCGGCCACAUUGUGACUGAGAUACGGCCCAGACUCCUACGGGAGGCAGCAGUGGGGAAUAUUGCACAAUGGGCGGAAGCCUGAUGCAGCAACGCCGCGUGCGGGAUGACGGCCUUCGGGUUGUAAACCGCUUUCGCCUGUGACGAAGCGUGAGUGACGGUAAUGGGUAAAGAAGCACCGGCUAACUACGUG